CUCGAGCAUUGGCAAGCAAAUUAAUUCAGUAUACAUAGUCUCGAUAACUUUUAAACUGUAAACAAUUAUAUAUUUAAAAUAAUCCUUGAUAGUCGUAAUAUAAACAAGGUUUACAUGCUGCAAGUAGAACAUUUUUGUGAGAUGAUGGUAAAAAAAAUAUGGGCAACCAAUGACGAUAUUGUAAAUUGUAAUGAACAGUGGCUACUGACCGGCUGACAUACGAUCGAAGGUGACGAGUUCCGGACAUGAAAGUGCUGUAUCGAUCAAAUAAUACAUUCAUUACAGUCAAAAUCAGUCCGAAUCGGGAAAGGUAUAAACUUAUAUAUGCCACGUAUUACAAGUUUACCUUU